AUGAACUGCACCAACCUAAAAUUUCUGGAGAUCAGUGACAAUAAUUUUGGAGGGGAGGUGCAACAAGUCCUUGGAAAAUUGACGAGCCUGAAGAGCCUUGCGCUUCAAGAGAAUAAUUACAGUGGAGGCAUUGUCUCCUCUGGCAUUUUACAGUUGCCAAACCUCAUCUUCCUUGACCUCAGCUUUAACAGAUUCUCCGGCAAGCUUCCUAGUGAGAUCGCUAGCAUGAUGAGCAUCGAAUCCCUCGUGCUUGCAUAUAAUAACUUCUAUGGUAAAAUCCCACCAUCAUACGGACGACUUAUGAGGCUCCAAGCAUUCGACUUGUCAUUCAACAGCCUCUCUGGCAAGAUCCCACCAGAGAUUGGUAAUCUAACAUCGCUUCUCUUGUUGAUGCUGGCUGAGAACCAACUUUCAGGAGAGAUCCCAAGGGAGAUAGGAAACUGUACUAGCCUGCUCUGGCUCAACCUUGUCGGAAACAGGAUAUCCGGCAAAAUCCCACCGGAGAUGGCAAGUAUGGGGAGGAAUCCCAGUCCAACCUUUGUCAAGAAUCGAAGCAAUCCUUCACUGAUCAAGUCCGCGACGAGUAAAUGUUUACCUGUGUACCGGUGGGUGCCGGCGAGUUAUUCAGAGUUUGACUUUGUUGAAUCAAUGAUGAUCUCCCAGAAGAACUGCCUAACAAUGUGGAACAGGCUCCUCAUGGGGUAUGACAUACUUCCAGUAACUUCACCAUUACGAACGGCCUUAGGGUAUGUUCAGCUGUCAGGAAACCUACUGUCUGGAGAGAUACCCUCCACAAUUGGCGCAAUGAAGAACAUUAGAUUGCUCCUGCUUGAUGGGAACCGCCUCUCUGGACACCUACCAUCAGAAAUUGGUUGGAUGCAACUAGCUAGUUGCUCUAAAUUUAUCCGGCAAUUCUCUCUCUGGUCAGAUUCCAUUCGAAAUUGGUCAUCUGGAUUCCCUCAGGAGCCUCGAUUUGUCUUGGAAUAA
rnacentral:rRNA from 1 species